GAGGUAUUGGUGUAGUGGCAGCACAACGCUCUGUGGCAGCGUUAGCACCGGUUCGAAUCCGGUAUAUCUCC
rnacentral:tRNA from 1 species